UAAGCAACUGCAUUACUUAUCCCACAAGCUGAGUAAAACUCAAGAAAAAUGGUCAACCAUAGAAAAAGAGGCAUUUGCAAUCCACUUCACCCUCUAAGAGUUACACAAUAACUGACAUGGUGCUCAGAUUACUAUAAGAACGGAUCAUAAGCCGCUGAAAUAUAUAGACUCUCCAAUGCAAAAUAAGAAAUUUCAACUAUGGGCAUUAAGUAUCGCUGUAUAUAACUGUAAGGUGGAGUAUAUAGAAGGAAGAUUCAACUGCUGUGCAGAUCUCUUAUCCAGAUUACCAACAGUCAACCUCGAGUGUGAAGAGGAAGAGCAGUCAGAGCAUGAUGAACCAGAUGUUAAGGACAAUUUUUUUUUAAGUGAACGCACUAAACUUAAAUGCAUUUCACCUAAGAGAUUGACCAAAUGUGUAGUUAAGCAAACCGACGAAUUGAUGAAACGAACCUUUUAUCGAUCUACCAAAAAAAAUCAUCAUGAAAGAAAGUCAACAAAACGAUGAGCAGAUCAAGAAACUGAAUAAAGCUAAAUCGGCUAAAUAAAGGAACCGCAACGGCAACAGAAGAAAAGAAGUUCUUGUAAACUGAUGGUUUAAUGUACUAUCUUUCAGAUGGAAACUCAAAAGGCCGAGGACUCCGCCUGUAUAUACCACGUAAGUUAGAACGUUUGGUAGUGCAGCAAAAUCAUGAUGGACUUGGACAUAUAGGAGAAGACAAAACGUUUGACGUAAUCAGAUAAAAGUACUUCAUACCAAAUCUAUACAAAAGGUUAAAUUUCUAUGUAGAAGGAUGUGUAUUAUGCCAAACAUGGAGCAAUAGGAAGAAUAAACCUCUACUUCAAGAGACAGAUACUAGUAUACCACCUUUUUCAAUGGCAAAGAGAUAAAGACAACAUGCAAAAGACUGUUGCAGUAUUUCUUCUUCUCUCCGUUUUCCUGGUGGAAGUGGAUAUCUCAGAGGGUUUAUUUGGAAGAUGGGUUAAAUGUAAAGUCUGCAAUGCUACUUGCCAGACAAAUUAUAUAGUUUGUUUGUCCAAUGAUUCCAAAGUUAAUUGUCUCACCAAAAGGGAAUUCUGCAAGGAGAUGUGUAAAGCAUUAACAUGCUAACACCGAUAUUGUGGGACUCAACAGACGUUUGUUAAUCUAAUCUUGAAUGCAGAUGAUUAUCAUACUGGUCAUAAUCUGUUGAGAUUUUUAAAUAAAAAAUGAAAUAAUGAAUAAGAUACUUAUACUUUCUGAUAUCUCUGAGAUUGUUUGUGUCGUCGUCAACUGUAAUAUUUUUUGAAACAUUCUAUGCUUGUUGACCUGGUUUUCCAUAGGGAAUUGUACGGAUAAGUCCUCCUAUAGUUUUCAAGAUAAGAACAAAAUUGAUGUUUCGCAGAUCAAUAAUGCAUAUGCACAUAAAUAGAUCAGAGAUGUGCAUGUUACUUGGAUGUUGAUUUUUGAGAGUUAAUGAAAUAAAAUACCAGCUGCUGAACUUUUUCAUUCUUUUGCAGAAUAUUCCAUAUAGUGUACCCCUAUCAUUGUACGGAUAACUCCUCCUACAGUUUUACGAACAGAGUUGAUGUUUUGCAGAUCAAUUGCACAUAUCAGAGAUGUGAAUGUUACCUGAAUUUUGAUUUUUGAUAAUUUAUGAAAAAUAUACCAGCUGUUGAACUUAGUUAUUGUUGCAGAACGUUGCACAUGGGAUACUCCAUUUCUCUGGAUAGGUAGUGUUCAGGGUUGACAAAUGGAUUGUGGAUAGCACUGUUAACAUCAAAGAAAACCCAGUUUGCUGUCACAUUGGCAGCUUUUCACUUGUAUCUAUAUGUAUAUUGAUGUUUAUUUGUACGCAUUUGCCGUAUUUGUGCAUUGUCGCUAUAACGCCAUUGUUGAUAUGCUCUUUGACAGUGAUAUGAAUAAUAGAUGGAACAGUCGUUAAACAUGUAAUUUAUCAAGGGGAAGAUAAUUAAGCAUCAUUGAAAAUUUGUUUCUUUUUUAACUCAAAAACUAUUGGGCUAGAAAAGCUGAAACUUAGGUGGAAUCAUUUACAUGUAGUGUGGAUAAGACUUUAAAGGGGCAUGGUCACGAUUUUGGUCAAAUUUUAUUUGUCUCUUUUUAUUAUUUGCAAUGCUUUAGGAAUGCAUUUCUAUUGAUCAAAUGAAAUUUGGGUGCCAGUCGUUGAGUUAAGCAAGAUACAGGGCUUACAACUCUUCUCCAUGUAAACAAGGCUCGUGCCCUGUUUUUGUUUACAUAGGUUCAAUAUACCAGUAAAAAUCUUUUUAAAGCUGGUUUGUCUAUCUUAUUAUUCAUUUUAUACAUUAAUAAACAGUUCCUAACGAUUAACACAUGCAUUUUAGGUCUAAAACUGAAAUUUUAACUUCAACAUUCAAAAUGUUUAUAUAUAGCAAAGAAUUGUAAGCUCUGUAACUCGCUUAAUAAAAAUGACUCAUCAAAUGACACUCAAAUUUUGGCUGCUUAUUAAAAAUGCCUUACUGAAGCAUUGUAAACAUUAA